GUGCCAGCAGCCGCGGUAAUACGUAGGGGGCAAGCGUUGUCCGGAAUUAUUGGGCGUAAAGCGCUCGCAGGCGGUCCUUUAAGUCUGAUGUGAAAUCUCGCGGCUCAACCGCGAACGGUCAUUGGAAACUGGAGGACUUGAGUACAGAAGAGGAGAGUGGAAUUCCACGUGUAGCGGUGAAAUGCGUAGAGAUGUGGAGGAACACCAGUGGCGAAGGCGACUCUCUGGUCUGUAACUGACGCUGAGGAGCGAAAGCGUGGGGAGCGAACAGGAUUAGAUACCCUGGUAGUCC
rnacentral:rRNA from 1 species